rnacentral:misc_RNA from 1 species
GAUGAAGAACGUAGCGAAAUGCGAUACGUAAUGUGAAUUGCAAAUUCAGUGAAUCAUCGAAUCUUUGAACGCACAUUGCGCCCGCCAGUAUUCUGGCGGGCAUGCCUGUCUGAGCGUCAUUUCAACCCUCAUGCCCCUAGGGCGUGGUGUUGGGGAUCGGCCAGCGCCCGCGAGGGACGGCCGGCCCCUAAAUCUAGUGGCGGACCCGUCGUGGCCUCCCCUGCGAAGUAGUGAUAUUCCGCAUAGGAGAGCGACGAGCCCCUGCCGUUAAACCCCCAACUUUCUAAGGUUGACCUCAGAUCAGGUAGGAAUACCCGCUGAACUUAAGCAUAUCAAUAAGCGGAGGA